rnacentral:rRNA from 2 species
AACGCGAAGAACCUUACCCGGGCUUGAACUACGGAUGGUAAGUCCCUAGAAACAGGGGCUGACCCGCAAGGGAGUCCGCAGAGGUGCUGCAUGGUUGUCGUCAGCUCGUGUCGUGAGAUGUUGGGUUAAGUCCCGCAACGAGCGCAACCCCUACUCGAUGUUGCUAAUCCCGCAAGGGAUGCACUCUUCGAGAACUGCCUUCGAUAAGAAGGAGGAAGGUGGGGACGACGUCAAAUCCUCAUGGCCCUUAUGUCCGGGGCUACACACGUGUUACAAUGGCCGGUACAAUGGGAAGCAAUGCCGCAAGGUGGAGCCAAACCCACAAAGCCGGCCCCAGUUCAGAUCGUGGGCUGCAACUCGCCCACGUGAAGGCGGAAUCGCUAGUAAUCGCUGAUCAGCAGGCAGCGGUGAAUACGUUCCCGGGCCUUGUA